AUCGACCCCGAACAAAGAUGCAAAAUCAUCCCAUUCCAAUCCCAUUCCGAAACACACGUAUACUCCCUCAUAUGCCUUUUUUGUUUUAAAUCAUCAAAUAUAUAGUAUCAAAGAAAAACUCUCAUUCUCUCCAUAAAGAAUUUCCGUCGGCUAUCUCAAGCUCCAUCCUUCAAGCUCUCGUCGAUCCCUUUUUCUCACACAACAUCGAAAACGAGAUUCCCAAAAUUGAACACACCCAAUUUUCUAAAAAAAAAAUCCGUCAGAUCAGAUGGUGGUGCUGUGACACCGCCGAUGAGCUCCGUCGCCGGCAGCCUUCAAUCACCACUGUUGUUCGCCGCCGUCGUAGGCCGCUGUCCCAAGGUACUUCAUCGUGGCCUUUGUUUGGCCGCCCCGAUUCGCCUUGACCAACCCCGCAAAUAAGGAAUCAAAACUCUUGCUUUAACAAUUUGCCUUCGGCUGAGAAUUAGAGAAGGCGGCUGGAGGAGCAGAAUGGGGUAGAAAUACCGUGUCUUGAGAGGAAAUUGUGGUAAAUGAUUCUAAAAAUAAUUGGAAUUAUAGGCUGAUUGAUGGUUUAGAUUUGGAAGAGAUUCAAGGAGUGAGAUUUUUUUUACUUAGAAUUGACUAAUUUUAUUUCUUUGGAAUUUUAUUUGCCGAUCAUGGAGGAGGAUCUCUGCAGAAUAUUUAUUUAAAAUUUGAACUAA